UUUUGAUUGUGUGUUUUAAAGGUGCCUUCAUUGUAACAAUUAAAGGAUUGGAAUAAAUCUGGCCACAAUCAGUACUUUAAAACCUUCUUGCCUUGCACUUAGAGAACGCUUGGCAUGGCCCUGCUUGCCACGGUGACUGACAACAGCGACCCAGACAGACAGAGGACACUCACUCGCUACACAUGCUGAACACAUAAAUAUUUACUUAGAACCCACCGAGACUUUUAUCUCUUCAUCUUCCAUCUCACUGCGGUCAAGGAGUGGCUGACUACCCGGUAGCAACAAAGGACGUUUUGAGCCGCGGAAUCCACAGGUUUCAACUGGGAUCCUGCGGCUGGGAACAGAAGUCCCAACACCAGGAAAGACCAGUGGGUCUCCUGAAGCCAUUUGGCCACUGAAGUCUCGGUGGCCAGAGAACGACCAACACAAAGCUGUGCCCACCACCAAGGCACCCUCCCUCCUUC
rnacentral:lncRNA from 1 species